GUCGUGAUUGGGAGUCUCAUAGGGCGGUGCAUUAUUAGCCCAGCGUCGUCCGGGUUAGGGUCUGGCCCGGUGUCGGCCAUCGUUGUACAUAAGAAUUUGGUCUUAACUGACUUGCCUAGUUCUAUAAAAGUUAAAUAAAAUACAGUGCCAGAAAGUAUUCAUACCCCUUGAAUUAUUAUUAUUAUUAUUAUUAUUAUUGACUUAUUCCACAUUUUGUUGUAACAGCUUGAAUUCUAAAUUGAUUCGAUUUUCUUUCCUCCCUGAUCUAGACACAAUACUCCGUGAUGACGAAGUGAAAACAUGUUAUUAGAAUUUUUAACAAAACUGUUGAUCAUUACUAGACAAAUCAUUGUCAAGUCUUGCCAUAGAUUUUCAAGUAGAUUUAAGUCAAAUCUGUAACUCUGCCACUCAGGAACAUUCACUGUCUUCUUGGUAAGCAACUCCAGUGUAGAUGUGGCCUUGUGUUUUAAGGUUAUUGUCCUGCUGAAAGGUGAAUUCAUCUCCCAGUGUAGAUGUGUUCUAGGUUAUUGUCCUGCUGAAAGGUGAAUUCAUCUCCCAGUGUAGAUGUGUUCUAGGUUAGUGUCCUGCUGAAAGGUGAAUUCAUCUCCCAGUGUAGAUGUGUUCUAGGUUAGUGUCCUGCUGAAAGGUGAAUUCAUCUCCCAGUGUAGAUGUGGUCUUGUGUUCUAGGUUAUUGUCCUGCUGAAAGGUGAAUUCAUCUCCCAGUGUAGAUGUGUUCUAGGUUAUUGUCCUGCUGAAAGGUGAAUUCAUCUCCCAGUGUAGAUGUGUUCUAGGUUAUUGUCCUGCUGAAAGGUGAAUUCAUCUCCCAGUGUAGAUGUGUUGUAGGUUAUUGUCCUGCUGAAAGGUGAAUUCAUCUCCCAGUGUAGAUGUGUUCUAGGUUAUUGUCCUGCUGAAAGGUGAAUUCAUCUCCCAGUGUAGAUGUGU